CUCUCUCUCUCUCUCUCUCACAGAUAUGCAAAGGCAGGCCAGGCCAUUUUCCAGGUGCAGCAGGUCCAAUUAGGCCUGAAAUCUUUAUGCCUUUGUUCAGGCUCACGCGGAGGCUCAUCCUGAGCAAAAAGACAGGUCUAUGUCAUUAGCAGGGUCCAGCCCAUAUCGAAAGUGGGUUUUUCUUUUAAUGGGUUCGAGGUUCGACUGGCUGUGACUUGGUCGAUGGAGAUAAGGGCAUUGGUGCCAAGAGGCAGAACCCAGAUUCGACUGGAGCCACAUCUCUUUCGAGAGUGGUUCACUCCUUUGUCGGUCAUGCUGAUACAAACAAAGCUUUCAUUUUUUCAAAGCUAGUCAUGCAUCUUAUCAAAUCUUAAUUAGUAUCCUUAAUUACCAUAAGUUUCGUGUCUUUUUCAAAUUAUUCUUCAAAAUUGGAAAUUUUCUGAAACUACAACAAAAGGUCAACCUGAUGGCAAAUACAAGCUGCAAGAGUACUAGCUAGCAUAUACCCUAAUGUGUUUUUUCUUGUGUAAAACUUCAUAGCUAUUUAAAUACAUCAGGAAAGAUCUGUUCCAUUGAAAUUAAUUGUGGUGGAAAAGCCAUUUCUCAAAGUACUUCUUCAUCUCCUUCAUUUUCAGACACCAUUUGAAUGGUAUGUAUCAAACUAUAGUAUAGAAAAUUAACAUAUUAAAAAAAAUCUUUUAAAAUUUCCUUUGGUACAUUUCUUAAAAAAUAAAGCCGUUAAUGUUUGAACUCCUAAUCUCCUACACUGGUCUUAUUUUAAGUUGUACUAACUCAUAUUCUCGACCAUUGUUAUGGCAGAUCAACUCAUACAGGGCACAGCACUGAUUAUUGAGUACUAUAUAUGGCUUCUGGUGUAUCGAGCGCUGUAAGCUUUCAAGAUGUUGAAGUGGAAAAGAUUACACUACCCAGAAAAGUCAUUACAACCGAAACCUCAAAUGAGGUUGAGAAGGUUUCAGUAGGCAAAAGUUUUCCCAGGAAAGUGCUUUCCAGAGUGUUUUCAGAAGAUUAUGAAUAUGAUGCAGUGGAGAAGACAAUACUGGAUCCUCGAGGACCUGUAAUAGACAAAUGGAACAAAAUUUUCUUUGCAGCUUGCUUAACUUCAUUAUUUGUGGACCCUCUUUUCUUUUUGCUGCCUCAAGUUGAGAACAAUUGCAUUCAUGUGUCUACCAAUCUUGAAGUAGCUUUUACAGUCAUCAGGUCCUUAGCUGAUGUAGUUUACAUUUUCCACAUUUUUGUUCGGUUUCGAAUGGCUUAUGUUGCUCCUUCCUCUCGGGUAAUUGGAAGAGGAGAGCUGGUUGUAGAUCCUGCAAAGAUUGCUUCAAGAUACCUUGACAGGGAUUUUUGGUUUGACAUGUUGGCUGCUCAACCUAUUCCCCAGGUGCUGACUUGGGCUGUGAUGCCUAGUUUAAGAGGUUCAUCAAUGGUGCAUACAAGAAUUGUCAUUCGAACCUGUAUCAUAAUUCAGUAUCUUCUAAGGCUAUAUCUCAUUUUCCCUCUUUCAUCUCAAAUCAACAAGGCCACUGGUGUUGUCCUGGAAACUGCUUGGGCUGGGGCAGCUUAUAAUCUGGUGCUCUAUAUGCUGGCAAGCCAUGUCUUGGGAUGCUUGUGGUACCUCUUAGCAAUUGAACGGCAGGAACACUGUUGGAGAAAAGUUUGUAGUCUGGAACAAGGAGAAUGCAAUUAUUCAUUUAUAGACUGCAGUUUUGUGGAUGACCCUGGCAGAGUGUCCUGGUUAAUAUCAAGCAAUGUCUCAAACCUAUGUGAUCCAAGUAGUGGAUUCUUUGAGUUUGGCAUCUAUGGCGAUGCAUUGGCUUCUCAAGUUACAUCCUCAAGCUUCUUCAAGAAAUUCUUCUACUGCCUUUGGUGGGCGUUUCGGAAUUUGAACUCUCUGGGACAGGGACUCUCCACAAGCACUUACAUUGGAGAAAUAAAUUAUGCCAUGAUUGUGGGAAUUGUUUCCUUGAUGCUUUUUGGUCUGCUUAUUGGAAAUAUGCAAAGAUAUCUCCAGUCCAGCAGUGCACGACUGGAACAAUGGAGGACCUUCAAGACUGAUGCAGAGAGAUGGAUGCGUCACAGGCAGCUGCCUCAUGAAAUGAAGGAGAGCGUUCGAAGAUAUAAUCAACACAGAUGGUGUGCAACUGGAGGAGUUGAUGAAGAGGCUAUACUGAAAAGCCUUCCCAUGGAUCUCAGACGCAUCAUCAAGCGACACCUCUGCCUCGAUUUAGUUCGGAAAGCAUGUUUUAUCAGCUUUCUAUUCUCUUAAUUAACCAGUUUACUGUUCCAUUGAAUAGCCUAAUUUGAUUCUGAAAUCUGAACUUGUGCCUAUGAAUAUGACAGGUACAGCUCUUUAAUAUGAUGGAUGAGCAGAUGCUUGAUGCAAUAUGUGAAAGGCUGAAACCUUGUCUAUAUGAUCAAGGAACUUGCCUGGUUCGUGAAAGUGAUCCUGUCAAUGAGAUGAUUUUCAUUAUCAGAGGUCGCCUAAACUCUUACACCACCAAUGGUGGGCGUGCCGAUUUCUUCAAUUCAUGCGUUAUUGCUCCUGGUGACUUCUGUGGGGAGGAAUUGUUAACCUGGGCAUUAGACCCUCGUUCAAAUUCGAACAUUACCCUCCCUUUGUCUACACGAACAGUUAUUGCCAUUACUGAUGUUGAAGCUUUCGCGUUAAUUGCUGAGGACUUGAAGUUUGUAGCAUAUCAAUUCCGUAGGCUGAACAGCAAACAACUGAGGCAUGUAUUCAGGUUUCACUCUCCGCAGUGGAGGACAUGGGCUGCUUGCUUCAUACAAGCAGCAUGGUUUCGGUAUAAAAGAAGGAAGGAGGAAGCUGAGUUGAAUAGGAUUAAGACAAGUAUGAGUGGAGGGAAAAAGGAGCGGACAUGUUCAUCAUCCUUGCUUCAAGUGGCUACUAACUUCACUAUUUAUGCAUCAAAAUUGGCUGCAAGCACUAGGAGGGGUGGACCAAAGCCAGAAGAACCUGAUUUUACGGAUGAAAAAUAAACAUUUCAAUAAUAUGUUUUAGAUGCCUCUUUCCAAUGUGAUCUGAAUGAUCUGAUCUUCCUCAAAGCCUACAAGAUGGGAACUCUAGUAUAGCAUUCUUAUGGUUAUGUUGAGAUAUGUAGGCCUUGAAUUUUAUAUUAUAAUGAUCAUCAUCACAUGUAAUGUAGAAGAAUAAUAAAUAGAGAAGUCGGCUCAGGCUAAUGAAGUCUCAAGUUCAAAUCUCAAUGUUGUUUCAACUUUUAAUACCCAUAAUCGAAAUCUUAGGUUCAACUUUGUAAAAUAUAUUAAAAAAGAAGGAUGAAUAUCUAGGAUAUGAAAUCACAAAUUUGUGCCUGCUAAUGAAAAGGAUGAACAAGGUACUGAAUUCAUU
rnacentral:misc_RNA from 1 species